rnacentral:lncRNA from 1 species
CUCCUUAGCAGCCGUGACAGAGAUGGUUGCAAAUCUGAAGGAGGAGAUAUUCAACAUUCGAAGCCUAGUUCAAGGUCAAUACUAGAACAUAAGUGACGUCAAGGACGACACAAGGCAGAUGCGAGAUAGCAUCAAACAUGAGCUAGGCAACCAGAGUCAGGGUGCAGAGAGACUAGCCAAUGUACUGAUCUUCAAACUUGACACCCUCCAGGAGAGUGUGAACAACAUUUCUUCGA